rnacentral:rRNA from 2 species
UACGGGGGGAGCAAGCGUUGUUCGGAAUCACUGGGCGUAAAGGGCGUGUAGGCGGUUCGGUAAGUGGGAUGUGAAAUGCCCCGGCUCACCCGGGGACCUGCAUCCCAAACUGCUGAGCUUGAGUACAGGAGAGGGUGGGGGAAUUCCAGGUGUAGCGGUGAAAUGCGUAGAUAUCUGGAGGAACACCGGUGGCGAAGGCGCCCACCUGGCCUGCUACUGACGCUGAGGCGCGAAAGCUAGGGGAGCAAACGGG